GUUAUGGCUCUUUAGUUCCAGAAAGUUCCUAGAACCUCAGACUCCAGGCACUGGACAGGAUCCCAUUGGAUUGGCACAGGCCUUACUGAAAGGAGGACAUCAAGCUGGCCCUGUGACGGUUCAGGGUGUUAGCCUAGGAUGGACAAUGAGACAGGGAAGUAGUUAGGGCUUUGGUGGCUGGAGACACGUGGGGAGAGCUUGAGGCAGGAACUUCACCAACUGAUUCAGAAGAACCAUGUUUGAGUAUUUCCACCAACCCUAAUUUGAAUUAGAAACAGAAGAAUAAUGGUCAAUUCCAAUAUCUAUGUAAAAAAGGAUGUGAAAGAAGAAAAAAGAAAGAAAAAGAAAAGGGAAAGGGAAAAUAAUCCAUCAAUAAGGAUAUUUUGUGCCAUGGUACUGAACUACAGCUAUAGAGCCAACUGAAUUGAAGUAAAUCCAAUGUUUGGAGCACCUCAUUGUUCUAAAGGGACAGAAGGGAGGAAGCUUAAAUUAAACGAACUUUAAACAUUUACUGAAAUAAUAGCAAUGUACCCCUGCCUGUCUCUGUCUGAUGUUUAAGUUUUCCACAUUCGUCCUGCUAAUUGCAUUGUCUGGAGUGGCCGCUAGCUGGAAGCUCUUAGAGCAGCCACCCAACGGGAAAAAACCCAAGCCAACCACACUUUCAGCUCUAC
rnacentral:lncRNA from 1 species